rnacentral:rRNA from 1 species
UACGGUAGAAGACUAGUGUUAUUCAUCUUUAAAGUAGGUUUAAAGGGUACCUAGACGGUAUAAUUAGUACUUAAACAGGAUACAAUUAUACUAGAGUUAUAUAUGAGGAGGUGGAGUAUUUAUGCAGUAGAGUUGAAAUUCGUUGAAUAGCAUAACGACUGGUAACGGCGAAAGCAACCUUUUAUCUAAUAACUGACGUUGAGGGACGAAGGCUCGGGAUGAACGAACAAGG